rnacentral:lncRNA from 1 species
AUGUCUAUCGUGUAACAUAAGCUGCCUGGCUGAAUGACUUCACAUCCCUGUUUGUAAAGGAUGGCACAACGCAAGAGGCCGCAGGGAAUUCGCUUAUGAGAAGUUUCCUCUUUUUUCUUCCUACAUAACCUUACUGCAACUUCAGAAUAUUACCGGAAUUGCUUCAGAAUCUCAUAAAGGAGGGCUACGAAGAGCCAGAUUCAGUACUGGUACAAUGAGAUCACCAGGUCUGAGUUUGGUGCAAAGCUUAGAAACUGCGUAUAGAAAGACAAGAAAAAAAUUGCAGCAUUUCUCUCUUUGUUCUCCUUUCAUACCAUACGGACAGACACGUCUCCCUUUCACACCCUCCAGACAGAAGUACGGUGUGCCACACACGCUGCCAGAUUCCAUUGGUAAUUACCCCUCUGUGCCAGAGGAAUUUUUCUCAAGUCACUAACUCUAAUCCCUUGUCUCCCAUUCUGGCAGAGACAAUUACACUUAUUAUUCGGCUUAUAAACUGAUUGAGCUACAUCUUACAGUUAAUUAAGCUGUUUUUCUUCUUAAUGACUGGUGGAAUGAAUGAACAAGGGAUGUAGCAGAGAAGCACAGGCAAGACUGUGUUGGGAAUCAUUUUGGAUAUAUGGAUGAAUGUUCCAGAAUAGUUUUGCACCUUUGUUGUCUCAUUUGAUCUGAAGAACUGCCACAGCCUGCUGCAGUCAUUGCCAAAGUAUCUCACUGGCUUCCUCAAUGAGACUGGGGAAAAGUUGGCAUGAAGUUAAUGAAGAGAUGAACUGGAAGUGGAUAUAUGAGAAGAGCAAGACAACUACAGUUUGCAGUGCGGAGUCUAGAAAGUGUGGCUGGGCUGGAGCUGACCCUGUUAGCCAGAAGAUCCUCGAAGUUCAGGGAAAUCUAAAGCCAGCUUUCAACUUUGUAGCCGGCAACUGAUUGCUAGGAAAGGCUCCUGGAUCCUCAAACACCGAGGCUGUGAUCUCUCACUGCAUCCAAGUUGUCUGGAUCAAUUCUUGUUAUGAUCUAAAGAGAUGCAUGUAUGGUGGUGUCUGUGCAUAGAUACGUCCACGCGUACACACACACCUACAGCUACCGCAGUUGUUCCAUUUUUCACCCCUGCUGCAGUCUGCAGGAUAUCUGAAACUUCGGGGACUGAAAAAAGAGAUACAAUCCCUUGCCACUCUCUAAAGGCUGUGUCAAAAUCUCUUGGGUUGAUAGGGUGUUGUUUGCUGCAAACG